rnacentral:rRNA from 1 species
GCUAGCGUUGCUCGGAAUUACUGGGCGUAAAGCGCACGUAGGCGGUCUUUUAAGUCGGGGGGGAAAUCCUGGAGCUCAACUCCAGAACUGCCUUCGAUACUGGAAGACUCGAGUCCGGGAGAGGUGAGUGGAACUGCGAGUGUAGAGGUGAAAUUCGUAGAUAUUCGCAAGAACACCAGUGGCGAAGGCGGCUCACUGGCCCGGUACUGACGCUGAGGUGCGAAAGCGUGGGGAGCAAACAGG